rnacentral:rRNA from 1 species
UACAGAGGGUGCGAGCGUUGUUCGGAAUUAUUGGGCGUAAAGCGCACGUAGGCGGAUCGUUAAGUCGGGGGUGAAAUCCUGGAGCUCAACUCCAGAACUGCCUUCGAUACUGGCGAUCUUGAGUCCGGAAGAGGUGAGUGGAACUCCUAGUGUAGAGGUGGAAUUCGUAGAUAUUAGGAAGAACACCAGUGGCGAAGGCGGCUCACUGGGCCGGUACUGACGCUGAGGAGCGAAAGCGUGGGGAGCAAACAGG